GAUGAACGCUGGCGGCGUGCCUAACACAUGCAAGUCGAGCGAAGCACUUACUUUAGAUUUCUUCGGAAUGACGAAGUUUGUGACUGAGCGGCGGACGGGUGAGUAACGCGUGGGCAACCUGCCCUGUACAGGGGGAUAACAGUUAGAAAUGACUGCUAAUACCGCAUAAGCCCACAGCUUCGCAGGAAGCAGGGGGAAAAACUCCGGUGGUACAGGAUGGGCCCGCGUCUGAUUAGCUAGUUGGUAAGGUAACGGCUUACCAAGGCGACGAUCAGUAGCCGACCUGAGAGGGUGACCGGCCACAUUGAGACUGAGACACGGCCCAAACUCCUCCGGGCGGCAGCAGUGGGGAAUCUUGCCCCCUGGGGGAAACCCUGAUGCAGCGACGCCGCGUGAGCGAUGAAGUAUUUCGGUGUGUAAAGCUCUAUCCGCAGGGACGAAAGUGCCGGUACCUGCCUAAGAAGCCCCGGCUACCUACGUG
rnacentral:rRNA from 1 species